CACCGCGGUUAUACGAGAGGCCCAAGUUGAUAACUACCGGCGUAAAGAGUGGUUAGGGAUAAUACUUAAUAAAGCCGAACACCCCCUAGGCUGUCAUACGCACCUGGGGGCACGAAGCCCCACUGCGAAAGCAGCUUUAACCACCACCUGAACCCACGACAGCUAUGAUA
rnacentral:rRNA from 1 species